rnacentral:lncRNA from 10 species
GUCCUGAAGAAGAGAGCUCUAAGAUUUGACUUCUGAAAGCUCAGUCUUCAAAGGUCUACAGAAAUCGGAUGUCUGUUUGUACGAUAUUAAGCACACAUAGUAAUAUCUGUAUUCAAUUUAACUCUCAUCUUAAAAAGAGGAAUUGUAUUUUUAGUUUGAAUAUGCACAAUGCCUAGUGCAUUGUCUUACAUGUCAUAAACACUCACCAAAUGUUUAAUAUUUGACUGAUGAUGCAAUUUAUCCAAGCCCUAAUUGUAAUUCACAGGCAUGAUUUUUGUUCAUAAUAACCACGUCCUUGGAGACUGAAGCAAAUGGACACAAAUGAUAAAGCCAGAGUACUGUUGGGAACCUCUAGCCUUGUUGUUGUUGAAUAAAUAUUCAUGGUAUAUGCAUGAAUAAAAUAUAUGAUGUCCCAAUUCUUUUUUAGCAUAACUUGAUGUGACACCAAUGUCUUUGAUACGUGUGUCUGAGAAAGCAGCUACUGAAAACCAUCUUCUCCAGCAAGCCUUCCAGGACUGCAGAUAUGGUCUUGAAGACAUCUUAAAAAAUCCGUUGGACCAGAGUAUAAAGUCAGAAUUUUUCCUUUCUACAGUCGGAAGUGUGAAUAUGAAUGCCUGAUCCUAACCCAAGCAUGGCCGGCUACAAUAAGAACAGGAGCUGUAACACUCACCAUGAAGGUCUGCAGCUUUAUUCCUGAAGUCAGCAAGACCACGAACCCACCGGGAGGAACAAAAACUCUGGACAUGUCGCCUUUAAAAGCUGUAACACUCACUGUGAAGGUCUGCGGCUUCACUCCUAAAGUCAGGAAGACCACGAACCCACCAGAAGGAAGAAACUCUGGACACAUCGGAAGGAACAAACUCCAGACACACCAUCUUUAAGAACUGUAACAACUCACCACGAGGGUCUGAGGCUUCAUUCUUGAAGUCAGCAAGACCAAGAACCCACCGGAAGGAACCAAUUCCGGACACAAUGGUUCCUGUGUGUGAUAACCUGUGAAACCAUUUCACGGUGGUUAAUUUUCUCUUAAGUUUCCAGGUAGAUCACCAGCUUCCCUCAACAUUUAUUGAGUGUUUACAUACCUGGGUUCUCGGAGGUGAGGAACUUGAUAAUGAUCACCUUGUUGCCUCACUCCUCUCUUUCUGGACAUUGUGAAUUCUCUUUGAUCCAUUUUCAACCAUAGACAUCUCUGUGAUCUUUGUUCUUGGAGGUUUACCAACUGAUGCUACAUCUAAAGAAAACACGUAAUUAAAAUUCAGUUGGAACCACUUAGAAAUGAGCAAUACUUAGUUGGAAGCAAUUGUCUUCAAAAUUCCUUGGUUAUUCAUUAAGGAGUAACCUCAGAAAACAUCCCAGAAAAGGCUGACAGUUUACAGUUUGGAAGACAUUAAUUAAUUUAAUAAGGUUGAAUUAGGGGCAAAAUUUGCAGAAGGAUACUCUUUUUGUUUGUUUUUUGAGACAGAGUCUCACUUUGUCACCCAGGCUAGUGUGCAGUGGCUCUCUGCAGCCUCUUCCUCCUGGGCUCAAGUGAUCCUCCAGUCUCAGCCCCCAAGUAGCUGUAAACAUAGGCACAUGCCACCGCACCUGGCUCAUUUUUGUAUUUUUUUAUGGAGAUGAAGUUUUGCCAUGUUGCCCAGGCUGGUCUUAAGCUCAAGCCAUCUUCCUGCCUCGGCCUCCCAAAGUGCAGGAAAUAUAUAGGCAUGAGCCACUGUGCCUGGCCCAAUAUUAAUGUUUUUUAAAAAGUAAAGUUAGAAAUAUAAUUUCCAUUUAAACAGGAAAGAAUUCUUACUGUAUUUGCCUAAAAUAAAGCAGUAUUUAUUUUAAAGCUAAGCUUAUAGUGCAAGUAAUAAUUCAUCAUUUUUAUUUCCCAGUUAAAAAAAUACAACUUUAGCAUUCAAAUUUGCAUGCUCUUGUUGCCUUUGUAGUUAUCAGUGUCUUCAGCACACAUGCUGGUGUGUGGCUGCUCAUGACUGCUUAAACUGAUACACAUUUUGAAGUGAAUUCGAGAUUUCCAGAGAAGGAUGUAUGCUUACAAUUUUGUUAAUAAGGUAAAGCAUAUGCUAAUUAGGUCAAUUCAUGAAGGGAGACAUUAGGUCCCUGGGCUUAAUAAAAGAGCUGUAUUGUAUGUAUUUCUUUACAUCUCUCUUUGAUUAUGAGUUCCUGACGAUCAGGGACCAUGUCCUAUUCAUUGUUACAGUCAAAGCAUUAAGUAUGUGUAGACCUGACAGAUAGUGGAAGCGUAAUAAAUAAUUCUUGAACUGACUCUCAAACAGGCCCUACAGGCAAUUAUAGUAUGGAUAAAUAAGAGUAGAAAUGAAGAUUAAAAAUAAACUUAUAACCCUGAUCCUAUAUUUCUUUAAGAUAUUGAUAUGCCCUAGCACUAUUGUAUGUGGGAUUACUAACAUACUAAUAGGUAGAAGUUAAUGCAGGCCUCCAGGGCAGCAGCAUAUUUCAUAAGUAAAUUUUUUUUGGAUCUUUUCUUAGUUGUUGUUAUUUCUAGUAUCUGCAAUUCAAUAAACCGAACUGCUGCAUCUAACAA